ACCCUUCUGUGUCCUGAAGGGUUCAAACUCUGGUGAGGAUCCAGUUAUCAGGUGCUCACCUGGAUGGUUCCAGCUGCCAAAGGGAAAGACUCUCGUAUCCUUGUCGUCGGGCUCAGUGCUGUCCAAGAAGAUACAGAGACUAAAAAAAUCAUAAGAAGCAAAAUAUGACUGCAGGGAAAAGAAGCUGGAGAGAACAGAAGACUCAUCACGGCGGGACAGCGUGAGGACUGAAAGUGUAAGAAGAUGUGGAGGGAAACAGAGAAUCUGACAGGAGCAGCGAACGCACGAGUGCACGAAUUUUGCUUUUUGCUUGGAUAUAAACUCAGGAGUUGAAAGGAAUUUUGGAGUGAGAAGGGACAUUUUAGAAGGAGAAGAAGAAAAAGAAGUUGUUGUUGUUGUUACAGUCCUGGCAAAAGCUUUUGUUCUAGCUAAUAAAAGAAGUUAGCUUAAAAAACAAAAAGAAAAAAA